CUUCCGGGAGCCACCAGUGGGGAUUAUUCCCCAAGGGGGGCAACCUUGUCGCACCCAUCCCGGGGGUAGGAGGAGGCCCUUGGGGUGGUAAACCUCUUUCUGUGGGAAGGAACUCGGCGGGGUGAAUAAUCCCGGUCGAUGACGGUACCGGAAGAAGAAGCACCGGCUAACUCCGUGCCAGCAGCCGCGGUAAU
rnacentral:rRNA from 1 species